rnacentral:lncRNA from 1 species
CAAGGGUUAAUGCACGAUCUUCCAUAGAGCGGUAACAGCCAGCCUAUUGCAACCAGGCACGAUACAGCGCUGCCCUUCCUUAUAAGCGCUUAAAUAUGGGAGAGGAACAGAACAGUAACUCAUUCUGGGAAACAGAAUAGCACAGGCAGAGAUGAAAACAUGAAAACUGAGGAGAGGAGAGGAGAAGAGACAAGGGAGGAGAGGAGAAGAGAAGAGAGAAGAGGAGAAGAGGAGAAAAGGAGAGAAGAGGAGAAGAGAAAAAGAAAACCCACCACUGGAUGACAUAGAAGUUUGCAUUUACAUUUCAUCAUCAGUUUGCUGUCGCGGCUGAAGAAGACAGAAUGUGAAAGACACAGCAGAUGAACUACAG